GAGACAGGGACCCCCCCAAAGCCGCAGACGGAAGGCGGGUCCCAAGGCGGGCUAAGGGGAAAACAGCCCAAUUCCGCCGCCCUCGAUAAUGGCACCGGCAGGCGCGGGGUUAUCAUCAUCUUGUAACAACUACUCUGGCCUUGGCUCUUGGGCUUGAAUUGCAGCAGGAAGUUAAUGCCUUUGUCUUCUUAUUGCUCUUUGCAGAGUGCAGCUCAUGAGCUUGGCUUUGCAGCCCUUACUUCAGUACUCACAACUGACCCAAGGAGUAUAGAGCUCACCAAGAGACAAGCAUUUGGCAAAGAAAGUGCUGAAGACAAACCAAAACCACUCCAAAUAUCACUUUACUAUACUUAAACAUUUUGAACUUCUGGUCAUGGGUUUGCCAUAAGUCUGAAGGAUCAAAUGAGAUUUGUGUGAUUUGACUGAGAUUGUGGCAAAGGCGUGUGUUGCUCUAUCUCUAUUUUCUGGUUUCCCUGUUUGAGGGAGUGAAACUGGUCCACAAAACAUUGCACUUAAACUGCUUUUUUCAGAGUAGAGUUCAUGACAAAAGUUUACCCCCAAACUUUCAAAUAUAAAACUGGUAAUUUAAAAAUAAACAAUUCUAUUUCUCAGAAUUUUAUUGCUCUUAAGCAGGACUACUGAAAAGGAAAAGAA